GGCGCCUUUAGCUUCCUUCUGGCUGCCCCUGCAGCUCGGGCUCAGCGAGACCUGCUGCCCCAGGAGUGGGUGUGUGGUGCUUGUGAGGAGAGCGAGCGAUCCAGAAACGUCAACUUGGCUUCUCGGGGCUGCGGAUGGCAACCAGAUGAAGAAACAGACUUACUGUUUGAGUAAGGAGAGCAGAGACUACUGACGGGCGGGUUGUAAACCAAAGCAGAUAACUUGAACAUACAAUUUUCAUCUACAGAAUGAAUCCACAAGGUUGAAGGAAUCCAUCCAGCACUGCAAAGGACAGUGGGGCCUUUCCUUGAUGGUAUCUGAUUCUUCUCUCUCCCAUGCCCAGGGAACAUGGGCAUUACUACCAAAGGCAAUUAUUACAUCAUUCACCAUGAGCCUCAUGUUUUCCCAACGAGAUGGGAGAAAGCAACUUGAAUUUGUCAGAACGACUGGCAUCCCCUAACCUCAUGCCGUGGGAAUAUGGUUUAUCUUGAGUGCACACCCACUAACCCGUACAUCAAAAUGUCAAAGGGCUUCCCAGCACAAGUUCAUGGCCGGAACGGGUAAGAUACCUUCAAUGGACCAAUUCUUAGAGGCAAAUGGCGAUGAAUAGAGGAUUCUGUUACUGUUUUCUUGGCCUACCCCACUCUGUUUGCAUUUUAAGCCUCUACAACAGAAAGGAAAGUUGUGAAAAUUGCUUGAGAUACUGAGUCACAUGGUUGAGAACAAGGGUGGUAAGAAAUGACACCAAGGGGCUGGACAGAUGGCUUGGGACCGGGGUGAGGGUUGGGGAGAACUUGCUCUACAAGCACGAGGGUCUGAGCUUGAAUCUCCAGAACCCAUGGGAAGAAGUGGAGACAGGAGAAUCCUCUCAUCUUUUCUGAACAGCUAGCCUGGCUGGCCCACAGAGUAAAGUAGCAACAAAGAGACCUGCUUUAAACAGUGUGGAAGGUAGGAACCAAUACUCAGAGGUUGGCCUCUUUUUGCUGCGGACACACACACACACACACACACACACACACACACACACACACACACACACACAAUGAGUC